rnacentral:rRNA from 1 species
CCUACGGGAGGCAGCAGUGAGGAAUAUUGGUCAAUGGGCGGAAGUCUGAACCAGCCAAGCCGCGUGCAGGAUGACUGCUCUAUGAGUUGUAAACUUCUUUUAUAAAGGAAUAAACCUAGGUACGUGUGUUCUUCUGUAAGUACUUUACGAAUAAGGAUCGGCUAACUCCGUGCCAGCAGCCGCGGUAAUACGGAGGAUCCGAGCGUUAUCCGGAUUUAUUGGGUUUAAAGGGAGCGUAGAUGGAUUGUUAAGUUAGAGGUGAAAGUUCGGAGCUUAACUCGAGAACUGCCAUUAAUACUGGCGAUCUAGAGAGCAGAUGAGGUAGGCGGAA